UUAAGUGAAAUCUGUAUAAAGUUUACAAAGCAAUACUCAUCUCUUUCUUCUACCAUCUCAAGUUUCUGGAAAACAAAAACAUAGAAUAUCAGCAUUUUAGAAAUCCCCAAUAGCUAGGGUUUGAAGAAACUCAAGCUACUCUUCUUGAAUAAUCUGAUUUCUUGAGCAAGUGGAAACUAAUUGGGAUUGUUUUGGAAAUUAGAAAUUCUGGGAUUGAAGAAAUCAAGUAAAACCUCAUCUCCAUCCUCUUUUUGUAAUAGUUCUUUUGGUAGAAGCUCUUUUUGGUUGGAUUACUGAAGUAGAUCUUUGAUUUUGGGUGGAUUACAAAGUGUUGAGAAGAAUUUGCUCAAAGAUUCAUUUUCAGGUUAGCUCUGUAGUGGAAAGGAUGCAUGUAUUAUGUGUUUCGGACGAGGCGAGGACUUCUUUUGGAAAUACAUUUUGUAAAUUAGACAUUUGUAUAAUUAAAUUGUAAUGAUUUUAUAAUGUUUUGUAAAUAAUCACUUAAUUAUGUAAAAAGUUUUAAAUACUCCGACAUUGGUUUACUGCGGCUACAGGUUGGAUUCAGCCCAGAUUUCUAUAAGUCUUCCGCUAUGCUUUGUAUACAAUAUUAUUAUAUUGUUUACGUUGGUUUGGA